rnacentral:misc_RNA from 1 species
CAGAGUUCAUGCCCCUCGGGGUAGAUCUCCCACCCUUGUGUAUCAUUAUAAAAAUGUUGCUUUGGCGGGCCGCGUGCCUAGCACGCCUGGAUUCGCGUCCGGCGUGCCCGCCAGAGGACCCCUAAACUCUGAUAAUUAUGUCGUCUGAGUACUAUUAUAAAUAGUUA